GGCCCCGCCCCCGCGGCCGCUGCGCGCCGGACGGGGCCCAAGCGGGGGUCGGAGCCUCAAGGCUGCGGCGGCGACGAGCUCCGAGCGGGACACUGAACGGCCCGUAUGCGCAAGAUAAGCACGGACUGAAUCAGGUACACGCACCUGCCGGGGACGCACUGACCGAGGUGCGGACGGCGGUACCAGGACAGGUAAAGCCGCGAACACUCGGACCUAAGAACUUGACAGGUACACCCUGCCUGAUGAAGCUACGUACGGCCAGGUGCGCAUCGAGUGAAUCAGGGUGAGAACCUACUUCUUCAUAAAGAGAAUUUGGAGGGAGCUUUUUGUUCUGCGGGGACAACAUCUGGAUUUGAAUACAUCCAUGCUCAAAAGGAGAUUUCUCAUAAUGGACCCAACUGAAAGCACUCAGAGUACAAGGACCGGUGAGCUUUCAAAAGGAGACACUUCGGGAGACUCGCCAGGGGCCCUCGUAUCCCCGGCAGCGCGAGUUUUGGAGGUCAGUGGAGGGCUCUCGCAUCAUGCAUGUAACUUUCAUACUCAAAAACUUACCUUCAUCCUGCAUCCCUCACCCCCCUGCAGAAACUUGGGGCUUGAAUUCAUUUAAAAACAUUUGCGGUUUCAGAAGCCUUCUUUUUAUUAUGAAGCUGCCAAGGAGAUCUUAGAAUGAAAGGCAUUUUUAGAGAUGAGAAAGAAGGAAGCCAGGCCAAGGCUGGGCCGGCUCUCAGCCGUGGGUCUGUAAAGGUGACACGUGGGACAUGGCCACCUGCAGACCCUGCAGGCGGCUGGGCAGAGGCACCCACAGGGACCUGGGUUUGAAUCCCUGCUCUGCCAGUCAUUUCCACAGCGAUCUUGGGGGAAGUUGUGUAACCUCUGGGCCCUGCGACGCCCUUUCCUGGAGCCUGGAGCUGGAACGAAGCCCCUUGGAGCCCUGACAUCAGAGGUGACGUUAGUCUUCGCAGGCAAUGACUCGGCGGAAUGUGAUGCCACUCCCUAACCCGUGUCCGGACUGGCAGAGUGUGUGCCGCCUCCCACCAGGUGGUCUGGCUGCUUUGAUGGAUCUCCUAACUUCUCUGCACCCCAGAGCCCUCAGUGCUGGCCAGACCUUCACUCACUCCUGGGUGACAACCCCGUUCUCAGAUAGUGGGUCCCACAGGCUGGCCUGUGGCGCCCCCUGCUGGUGACUGCAGGGAGAAGGAUGCCCUAAGCCAAAGGAAGUCCUUCCUGGGGUCUAAUCUCUACCUUUUGCAUGAUGAGGCAGCUGAGGUGGCUCGCUUUCUCCUCCACCCCAGAAAAUAAAGUCAUAUGGAGUCCAAGCA
rnacentral:lncRNA from 1 species